AUUCUGUGUUUUGAGUGACAAGUUUCGAAAAUUAAAAACACUGUAUUUUUAAAAGGGAAAUGCACUUAAAUGAAGACAGUUAUUACAAAAGUUAAGAUUUAAAAAAAAGCAAGAGUUUUUAUUAUGACGUAAUACCGGUAGAAUAUUUAAAAGGCGCAUCACAUCUGAAUAAUCAAUGUAAAUAUUUUCUUUCAAAGUUGUAAGUUUUCAUAUCAUGUGUUGUAAAGUUUUCAUAAACAAGGCUUUAACGUAAACACUGGUGACAUAAACCAUUCAUUGCUAUGUUGCUUAUUGUGUUUUUAUGCUGUUUUAUACUUUUUUAUGAGUUAUGAUAGCAGCAAUUAAGUUGUUUGUAUUUUGCUUAACUAAAACAAAAAUGCUUUUAUCUUGCUAUAGAAUAAACACAUUUCAGUAA
rnacentral:lncRNA from 1 species